AGUCACUGACAUUAGAUACCCGCGUAGUCCAGGGUGUAAACGCUGCAGACUUGGUGUUGGAAGCCCUUUGGGGGCAUUCAGUGCCGGAGAGAAGUUGUUAAGUCUGCUACUUGGGGAGUACGUCCGCAAGGAUGAAACUUAAAGGAAUUGGCGGGGAGCACCGCAACGGGAGGAGCGUGCGGUUUAAUUGGAUUCAACACCGUAAACUCACCAGGGAAGACUGUUACAUGAAGGCCGAGAUGAAGACUCUGCUAGAUUUUCAG
rnacentral:rRNA from 1 species